rnacentral:misc_RNA from 1 species
GUUCUGUUCUAUUGGAAGGAAUAAGCAGUUUUCUUGUUUGGCUGGUGGGCUUGUAUGGUAUGGCAGUACCCUGGCCGAGGUAAUAAUGAGAAUAUUUAAUUUAUUCUACUUAUUUAUUGCUUUAUUUAUAAAAAGAAAAGAUGUAGCUUCUUUUGGCUAUGGUUUAUACAAAAAAAGCUACAUCUUUUCUUUUUAUAAAUAAA